rnacentral:rRNA from 1 species
GAUGAACGCUGGCGGCGUGCCUAAUACAUGCAAGUCGAGCGAACGGACGAGAAGCUUGCUUCUCUGAUGUUAGCGGCGGACGGGUGAGUAACACGUGGAUAACCUACCUAUAAGACUGGGAUAACUUCGGGAAACCGGAGCUAAUACCGGAUAAUAUUUUGAACCGCAUGGUUCAAAAGUGAAAGACGGUCUUGCUGUCACUUAUAGAUGGAUCCGCGCUGCAUUAGCUAGUUGGUAAGGUAACGGCUUACCAAGGCAACGAUGCAUAGCCGACCUGAGAGGGUGAUCGGCCACACUGGAACUUAGACACGGUCCAGACUCCUACGGGAGGCAGCAGUAGGGAAUCUUCCGCAAUGGGCGAAAGCCUGUCGGAGCAACGCCGCGUGAGUGAUGAAGGUCUUCGGAUCGUAAAACUCUGUUAUUAGGGAAGAACAUAUGUGUAAGUAACUGUGCACAUCUUGACGGUACCUAAUCAGAAAGCCACGGCUAACUACGUG